GCUUCCAUCAUAAUAAGCAUCUAUUUCACUUGUGUCAGAAGUCUAGACUUCCACCUGGAAGUCAGGAGGGAGGGGCCAGAGAUGGGGAGGGCACACAGUAGGCUCCCCAGAGAGUUUAAGAAGUCCCCAUAAUUUGGAGGGCUCAGUGGACUGUUUAGAUGUAGUGUUAUAUCAGGAAAUCCAGGCUAGGCUCACCUCCCUCCCAUCACAACCCACACCAUUUGGCCCCACCAGC
rnacentral:lncRNA from 1 species